rnacentral:lncRNA from 1 species
AAAGAUUUAUAUUUUAAAAAAAUAAGGGAUUUCCCAUAAGUUAGAACUCCUAACUGAGAAAAAAAUCCUUUCCAUAAACAUAAUGUUCACGUAAUACCUUAGGUAUUGAAAUCAACCGAAAGUAAAAGCUGACGUUUUCCAUUGGUUAACAUAUAUAAUUGAGUGGAAAAGUUACACACUUUUAAGUUUGCACCUCAACCAUUGGUCCAAAAGGAAAAACAAUGGACUUUCCAUUACAGCAUACGUUACCUCGCUCAGCCACCCAAGAUAAAAGUCAUGUUUCAACCGAGGUAAAAGCAUUGUUUCCCUUUUCUAUUAUAAAAAGAUAAAAUAAUGAAAAUCUCGUAAAAACUAAGAAUACAUUUUUAUGAUUUGGUAAGAAUUUUAUUUGAUAUGUCCCGUUAAAUUAACUCAGUUGAUAAUUGUGUAGGGAUAUCAAAUGUAUGAACUCGAACUCGGAUCCACGACAUCCGACUUAUUCAUCUUUAAAAAGUUGAAUUUCAAUGAUUAAACUAUAUAAUAAAUUUUAUUAUUAUUUAAUCUCCUUAUUAAUUAUACUAAAAGGACAAGUAACACUUCUUUAUAUUUAUGAGAUAUUUAAUACUUUCUCUGAUCCUCUUUAUAAGAAAUAAUUUUUUUUUUAAAUUAUUAAAUAAUAAAUAUAUCUAAUCUAUUAUUAGAUCAAAUACACUAAAUAUUUAAUAAAUCUAAAACAUAAAUUAUCUCUUAUAAAUAACAUUAGAGUAACUAACAUUAACAAAAAUUAUGCUACUCAGACAUUCUCCCACAGAUUAUUUUCAACACACUCUUUGAUUAAUUAAAAUUCAAUCGCAAUAAAUUUAUGUGGUGAUUAAAUGAUUUAAUGAGACCUAUUGGAAUUUCAAUCAAUUAAAGAAUAUGUUAAGAAGAGUGUGUUAUUAACAAUCCUCUUAUUCAUAAUAUCAUCAUUGUUCUACCAUUUUCCCUUUUCUAAUAAUAAUAUCACCAUUUCUACCAUUUUCCUUUUUCUAAUAAAAAAGUAAUAAAAUAAAUAAUAAUUGAUAUGAAAAAAAAGAACACUUAUAAUCGAUAAGUUUUUUGACGUGACCUCAUUACAGGUGUGUUUUAAAGGGAAAAAUACAACACAUUGAUGCAAGCAACAAAAACUUAUUCAUUUAAAAAAAAUAUAUUAUUCUUGUUUUGUGGCUUUCCCUUUUUCUAUAAUGAAAGGUUAUAAAAUAUUCAAAAUUUGAUAAAAAUAAAAGAUAUAAUAUAUUCUUAUGAUCCAUAAGUUUUUUAUAAGUUUUUUAUGGGACCUUCUUACUAUGUUACAUGUGCUAAACAGACAACACAACUUAUUGAUAUAAUUAAAAGUCAUAUAAUAAUUAUUAACUGUUUUAUGUGUUCUAAAAAGCGAUAUGCUUUAGAAAACGCUAUAGAUAUUAAAAACUAUUUAAUUGAUGUAAGGAGAGCACUAAGUUUUAUAAAUUCAUCAGGUGAUAUCUGCAUAUUCUAUUUCAUACAUGCAAAAGGUGGAAAAGAUGACUAAAAUUAUCAAAUUUGUUUAUAUUUUAAUCAUCUCUUUAUCUCUAGUUGUUGCAAUGAAUAUUAACGGUAAACUGUUUUUUUUAUUCUUUUUAAUUUUCUUUCUUAUUAUUUUGUUAUUAAUAUUUGAUUCUAUUCUAGUAACAUUUUUUUUUGCUUUUCUUUUUCACUACAGCGCGUGGUAUUCCAUGUUAUAAUAAAGACGUUGAUUGUCCAGAAAAUAUGUGUAUGUAUGCUCACAGACCAACGUGUUAUUUAGGUUUCUGUAAAUGUGUUAGUAUAGCUUCUGAUAAUUGAUAUGAGCACCAGAUCCAAGAGAGUACAAAAAUAUCAUGUUAGAAUAUUCUAUGAAUGAUUAUUUAGUUAUGGUAUUUACAUUUAAUAAAUUAAGUUUUUAAAUUUUUCUAAUUUAAUGGACCUUGUAGUUAUUACUUUGUACUAUAAGAAGAUGUUAGUGAAUUAAAAUGUAACAUCAAAUAAUAACAUAUAGUUUUUCUCUUCUCUCUUAGUUUUGAAGAUCUUUCAUUGGUCUUCAAUUUAUGCCGAUCAAAUUUUUAAAUCCUAUCAUUUAUAUGAAUUAA